UUUUUAACAACUUAGUUAACAUAGUUACUUGAUUGUGCUAUAAAAUGCCACUAUAUGCCUUGAAAAUAUAUAAUACUGCCUCUUUAAGGAUUAUGUCAUGUAGCCUUGUUUAGAGAGUACGUUUGCAGAGCUGUCUGUAUUUUGAUCUCAGCAGACGAAGCUCCAGUUUGUUGCUGAGGAAGCAGAAGUGAUGGUCUAUCAUAGCCUUUAGCUUGGCUCCUGUUUGAACCCUCCUUUUGCAUUGGUUUUACUUUUGUGUUUUUUAAUUGUUUUCUUAGACUAUGUUCACACAACAGGCAAAAGUACCUGGAAUUUUUUUUGUCCACAUUUGAGAAUGUCAGACUUUCUCAUGAACCCAUGAAAUUAUAAACUCAGAUAUGCACUUUCCAGUGUGUGUCUGGUGUUCAUUUGGGUUGUUUAAUCAUGGUUUAUGUUGGGAAAUGAGCAGGAGUGACAAGGAUAGACAGAAAGUUAAAGUAAAAUGCAGAAAACUAGAUGGCAGAGAGGGAGAUCACUGUCAGAUGAAUUUCUGUUGGCUGAGGAUGGUCAAGAGAACUCAGGUGGGGCUUUAACUUGACCACAGUUCAAUGCAACCCAAUCAGCCAGAUCAAGAUUUCACUGUUUCUACCCAAAUGUACUUUUUCAACCUGUGCAGUACCAGAAGUAUAAUAUAUAAUAAAGAGGCAUCAGGAUUACACAGGUUUAAUAUAAUUGGAAUUACUCCACCACCAAUUAAAUGGAAACAGUGUCUGACGCAGAUCUAUUGAUACACUUGAAGAUAUACUGUAGCUAUGCUACUGCAUCUAAUUCAGAUUCAGAACUUUAUUUUCCAUGUGCACUUUCACACAAGGUUCAGUUGAAUAGGAAUUCUUGUGUAGAAUUUGCCUGUCAGACAAAUAUAUAUUUAACGCAAAAAUAAUUUAAGACAUCUACGCUAAGCUGCUAAAGACUUGAAAAUAUAUAAUACACUGUGUAUGCUAAAAAUAAAUAAAUAAUUCAUUUCACUUGAGUUUGAAGAACAACAAUUACUGUACUAGAAAAUGUAAACAUCCAUUGAAGGCAAAAAUGUGAGUAUUCAUGUUAUUUACAUUAUAUAGACUUCAAGGCUAAUACUAAAUUAAUGUUAAGCUAAUGGUUACUGAACCAUUGUCUUGUUCAUUGGUUAGUUAUUAGUAAACACAAUCCUGAUGAUAAACGUCUAAUGACUUUUGGUAAGGACUGCUAAAUAGAAAAUCAUCAGGUAGCUGAAAGAGGAAGUCCUAGUCAUAUUAACUUGCUGUUGAACCAUUACCUACUGAUGAAAUCCUGACUACAAUUUGGAUAAAAACUAGUUAAGAGUGGUGACUCUUUUUUAUAAGAGAACAAAAAGUGUAAAAGUAUACUGUAUUUCUAAAUCAGUUAUAAUUGGUUGCCUACUUUCUAAUUGCCCACAAUACUUUAAGUUUUAAAAUAUUUGAAAGUUGAAAAAUACUGUAGCAAAAUAUUUAGCUACUAAAAUGUUUAAAUAAGAUUUUAGAGUUUUUGAGCCUGAAGUACUGCAAGUAUUUUGUACACAGUAUUAAUAAAUCACUUACCAUUUGGUAGAUUAAUGUUGUUUUCCAUUAUAUGCUUCUUCCUACAAGUUCUUUGCUUCCUGGUGUAUGUCCUACAGUUGAUACAACCUAAACACGGACAGUGUUGUUUGUAUGUAGUCAGAUCACAUGACCACAGAAAAGAAGCAUUUUCUAUGAUUUUAAAUAAUUCUUGGACAGGAAAGAGUGCAGCAGGUCAUCUGUGAGGUAACCUUCACAAGGCUUACUUCUUUGCUUACAAGCUUGCUUCAGUUGAACAUGCCUCGUUUCCACUGGGCAAGCAGUACAGGAUGGGUUGCUGCAGUUUGGUAAGCCAUUUUGUCGGUUUGCAAUGUUAGCACAGCUGAAAAAACAACCUGUGCCGCUCCAUUCCCGGGUUCCUUCAUGGAACCCGGGAAUGGAAAAGUCCAGGGUGGACUUUCUGGCAUCACGCAACACACUACAUUGAUUAUGGAACAGAAAAAUGUUGCUGCUUGCGUCAUGUGUCACGUUUGUUGCCACAUUAGUUCAGGUUUAACCCCGCCUACCCAGUGAGAGUCCAACUGAUGGUGGAAACAUUUUUCUGAAUUCAGCAAGACUGUGAAUAGAGGUUGGGAAAUUAGGCUCAGUGGAAAUGAAGAUGUCUAUGAAAGACACUUGUCACAGGCUGAAUUAGCAGCAAGAUACAGUGGUGAGAAAAAGAGUUUGCCCCUUUGUGAUUUCUUUCCUUUUUUGCAUGUUCAUCACACAUAAAUGCAUUAGGUCGUUAAAUUUUAAUAUCAUUUAAAGAUAAUAUGUAAAACAAAAUGCUGUGUUUAAGUGAAGUUGUUUAUUGUGAAGAGUGGGGAGGAAUCCAAACCUACAUGCAUUCACUGAGAGAAUCUGACUUUUUGCAUAGUUGUUGUGAUUCAGCGACAUCAGAGGUUUUUGAGCAUAUACUGCCUUUAAGGUCAUGCCAAAACAUCUCAGUCAGAUUCAGGCCUUUCUGUCUUUCUGCGACUGUUUUUCUUGGAAAGAGAAGACAGCCAAAAAAAAUGCAUGAAAACUGCAAAUGGUGGUUGAUACAUAUGCAUCUCUUACCAAGGUUCCUAGCUCUUUGAUACCAAUCUAAUGGACAGUGUGUGAACUACAUGUGGUUUUUGGAAACGGCAGGGCACGAUGGGCCAACUGCAUGAAAUUUUGCUGAUAAACUUAGAAAAUAAUCUGUCAUGCAGUAAAAUAUAUUUUUCCUGAUUAAUAUGUCCUACUACGGAUAUAUCAGACUAGACAACAUGUGACCAAUUUACAAUUUUGGGUUAGAAGCUUUUUAGUUACACUAAGAAAUCAAAAUGAGUAAUAACAGUAUUUCUGUAAUUCAAAAUUUGGGUCUAUUUGCAAAAAAAGUAAAUUAUGUGCAUGUGUUUUGAUAAAUGCAACUAUGAAUCAAAAGAUUACCUUAGUCUGCAUGUGACAAUAUAUCAGUAUUGAUGAACAAAAAGAUUACAUACCCUUAUAGAAUAUAUAUUUUUAUAUAUACAGGAGGAUAACAGAUUCUAGAACAAUAUAGUAAAUAAAUUUGUAUGCUGUAUUAAACUGUAUUCGACAUUUCAAAGUCUUGCUUGAGGAAUAACAGCAUCAAUAAAAUAGUUCCUUAAGUUCCUAGCAGGCAUCAUUAGCAUUAAAACUGUAAUAUGUAACUUUUAGAAAAAACAACAACAUUUUUUCACACAUUUGUUGAAACUAUCAUUUGUCGUGAGAGCAUGUUAUCAGACACAUAAUCUGUGAAAAAAUUGAGCUGCUCUGCCUUCUGUCAGUGCUCCCAGAAGGGUCUUCACGCUGUCAAUCAUGUACAUUUAUGCGUGAUGCAUAAGUGUACCCACUUGCUCUCUGCUAUGAGACAGGUUCUACCUGUCAGCAGAGCCUGCUGCUACAUGCUAAGGCUAGUUAACAUGGCCACCAAUGACAGUGGAUAGACAGUUUUCUUGUAGCAAUGACUUUUAUUUGUCCGUUGUCCAUUAGCAUAUUUAUCAGCGCAUUAAUGAGUCUAAUUGACAGCUCUCCUCCUGGCUUUGAUUGGAUGUUUUUAACUUGGAGUGAUGCAUUUCUUCAGAUGGUAAUAGCAGCACUGGGAGGAGCUGGAGCUUUUCCCAGAUUUUUUGUCUCAUAUUAUGCUGUCACAACAUGGUAAUAGUUUUAGCAAAUAUGUAAAAAAAAAAAAACAUAUAUUUUUUUAAAUAAAAGUUACAUACUGCAGCUUUAAGAGGUUAAGGUCACACACAAUAGGAUCUGUUAGUGGAUCACAAAUAUCAAGCAUUAACAGAAGACACUCUUAAUGUACACAGGUUACAUCUCUGUGCAAUAAAAUGAAAGAGUUUCCAUUGAUAUCAUGUUGAGUUUAACCCACAAGUGAAUAUAAUUUGGACAGUGUUCAUUUUUGUUUUACUCAUAAUGAGGGUUUGGAAGUUUGUGUAUCAUUAAUUAGUUAGUAUUAUGCCCAGGGCUGUUGUACAUUUAUGUUCAUAAUGUUGUUUACUUAUGCAGUUUUGCAGUUGUGUCCGUUAUCAUUUCACUUUACCUGACUGGAUUUGGAGCUUCCUCAGACAAUUCAAACAUAUUUGUUUUUGACUGCAUCUGAGCUUGGGUCUGGUCAGUUCUCCUCACACACUUGCAGAGUCCAGUCAGACUAUGCUUCUCCAACUUCAAACUUGAUCUAACGUGCUUCAGAUAGUCCAUUACAAUAACUCGCUAAUAAGAGAAGCUUCACAGAAAUUCGCCUCAAUAAAUCCAAAAAAUGUUGAUACAUUGAUAGACAAAAAGUCAGUGGAGUUACUUUGUGAUCAUAAAUGUCAGGUUUGUGUAAAACUAUAUAUAUGAAACUAGAAUAGAACUAAAACAGACCAUACCUGUCUAACCUUUCUCAUGAGGUCAGUCAGUUGUAUAGUUUUUCAGGUUAUUAAAAGUAUAUCUCACAGGGUGCAGCACCAGGUAUGUGUAGUUGUGCCGUGUUUUGCUGUGUAAUUACUAUGUACUGCACAUAUUACUACAAAUAUAAGUUUUGUGUUGCCAGCUCCUAAGAUUUUGGUUGACCCUCAUUAUUUAUUGUUUUAUUUUUAUUCUUUCAUUAGUUGAUAUAACAAACAUAUAUUUAUAUUUGUCACACAUGUACUAUAUAUCUGCAUUGCAAAGGAAAAUUCCUACACAGAGAUUCAGAAAAUCACCUUGUUACUGUGUAUGUAAGAAAGGUAUGAAAUUGAUGUUCUCUUCGCUACUGUUUUGUCAUAGCCUAAUUUAUGUAAAAGACAUAUGUAUCAUAGACAAACUGUGUAAAACCCUCUCUACUGUCUGCUGUAAACGGUUCCUGUUGUCCACAAACUGUCUCUAUUAAAAUGAAAGAAAUA